ACUUUAUGCAGGUGGAGUUCUAAAUCUGGCCAUGGUUGAGAGUGUGGACAAUCAGAAGGUAGCAAAUCAUCUUGACCGUAUGGUAUCAACCCUUGGAAGAAAUCCUCUGAAGGUUUUGGUGCAAGUAAAUACAAGUGGAGAAGAAUCCAAAUCUGGCAUUGAUCCUUCCAAAUGUGAAGA